AUCGCUUCUCGGCCUUUUGGCUAAGAUCAAGUGUAUAUCUGUUCUUAUCAGUUUAAAAAAGAGCUACAGACUGAACAGCACUAAAACUCAUUAAAUCCAUCAAAAAUUCCA
ensembl:snRNA U2 U2 spliceosomal RNA